UAUGGGCAAAUAAAGUCAGGACAUGCAACAGUGGAUUUUUGUUUUUGUUGUUGUCCUGAUAAAUGCAAAGCAAAAUAAUAUAAUUUAUAAUAAUAUACUUGUAGAGUAACAACGAAUACACAUUUUGGUUUUUAUUUCAUUGAAAUAUUCUACCUGGUUCAAAAGAUAUGUGCAAAAAGGUCGCGCAAGGUAUGGGUACGUAGGUAGCAAAUACACUGGUAUAACUGGUUUUUGUAUUUUAUAUGCAGCUGCAAGGGUUGUUUUCACACGAGGUGUUGUUAUAAAUGCUGCCUGUUGAUAUUUUCAUUAUGGUUUUGGUGCUCAAAACUGUAAGAAGUGAAAAUAAAUAUAACUGAAACCAUAAAUAACUGGAUACGAAAUGACUUCAAGAAGAAACGAAUAUUUAUCAAGUGCAGCAUAUAGAAGCGAGAAUCAUAUAUACCUUUAUUUGAUGAAAUUUGUGACGAUGACGCCCCUAUGACUUUGACUCAGAAGACGAAGAAGAAAUUCAAAUCAAUGACGUUGAAAUUGCUGAUGACGAUGCUGAAGUUUCGCAAAGUGCCGCAGAAGUAUUACCUGAUUAUGCGGACUAUGAGGAUGAUGAAGAAGACGAUGAAGAAGAAGAAGUAGAAGAAAAUAAUGAAUUACCUGCUAGUGCCGAAAAAUUUGUUGCACGUUGGCUAAAUGAGCCUUAGUCGCCUGUCUAGUGAAAUUCACUGAGGAAGCUUACUUAAAUCGCUUAUUGUGUGCGGAUCAUCAUUAUUUGAAUAAAUAACCAUACUGUCUAGUGUUAGUGACACCUUACAAAUUAAGUGAAAUUACUUUUUACUGAAACAAAUACACGAACAAGGAGAUAAAA